UACGUAGGGGGCGAGCGUUGUCCGGAUUUAUUGGGCGUAAAGAGCUCGUAGGCGGCUUAGCAAGUCGGGUGUGAAAACUCCAGCUCAACCUGGAGACGCCACUCGAGACUGCUAUGGCUAGAGUCCGGUAGGGGACCACGGAAUUCCUGGUGUAGCGGUGAAAUGCGCAGAUAUCAGGAGGAACACCGGUGGCGAAGGCGGUGGUCUGGGCCGGCACUGACGCUGAGGAGCGAAAGCGUGGGGAGCAAACAGG
rnacentral:rRNA from 1 species